ensembl:lncRNA
AUGGAGCGCGAUGGGCCGGACGCCGCUGGGCGGGAGGCGGAGGUGGAGCGUGGCCGCUACCUGAGCCGCCGGGCCGUAGCGCAGGAGCAGCUGGCGCAAAUAAAGGAACACGAGGAUCAAGCAGAUCUGGCUAAGCUGGAAAAGAGAAGGGAAGGGGAACAAAUACAGAGAUCAAGCCAAUUGUACCAAAUGGAAAUUCAGAGAGAUAAAGAAAAGGAACAGGAGAAAAAAGUUGAAUUCCAGAGGCAGCAUCAUGAACACAUAGCUGAGCAGAAAAUAUUUAAAGCAGAAGAUAAACAAAAAGAAGACAAAGAUGAUGAUCGGAUUAAGGCUUAUAUUAAAGGAAAAGAAAUGAUGGCUGAUCUGACAAGAGAACAAAAUCUGGAGACUAACAGGAUGAUAGAGAAGCAUAAGGACAAAGCUUUUGAACAAUUAACUGCACAGAUGAAUGAGAAAUUUAAGAUUGAAGAUGAUCGUCUUGUUAGAGGAGCUGCAGAGAUAGAAGUUGAGUACCAAAUGCAAAACAAAGAGAAAGAAAUGAAAAAAAAGGCUGCUCUUGAAUCUAUUGAAGAAAACAGAGUCACUGUGGUAAGAAGCGGGGGCUGUCCUUGUUCCUCUUUCUGUCAUAUAUUAGGAAUAGGAAUAGGAUUUGGAAAUGCCAUUGUUUCUAGCACAGUCAUUUGGGGUGAGACACACAUGCAGGUUAUCACCAGUUGCCUUUCAUUUAUCAUCUGAAG